CCCUUAGAUGUUCUGGGCUGCACGCGCGCUACACUGAAGGACUCAACGUGCUUGUCUCCUUGGCCGUCAGGUCUGGGUAACCCGUUGAACCUCCUUCGUGCUAGGGAUUGGGGCUUGUAAUUAUUCCCCAUGAACGAGGAAUUCCCAGUAAGCGCGAGUCAUCAUCUCGCGUUGAUUACGUCCCUGCCCUUUGUACACACCGCCCGUCGCUACUACCGAUUGAAUGAUCCGGUGAGGCCCCCGGAAUGUGGCAACGGCUUCGGUUCGCCGAACUGAUGCUGCGUGAAGCUGUCCAAACCUUAUCAUUUAGAGGAAGGAGAAGUCGUAACA
rnacentral:rRNA from 1 species